rnacentral:rRNA from 1 species
UACGUAGGGGGCAAGCGUUGUCCGGAAUUAUUGGGCGUAAAGAGCGCGUAGGCGGUCCGAUAAGUCGGCUGUGAAAGUCAGGGGCUCAACCCUUGAAAGCCGGCCGAUACUGUCGGACUAGAGUCCGGAAGAGGCAAGUGGAAUUCCCGGUGUAGCGGUGGAAAUGCGCAGAUAUCGGGAAGAACACCCGUGGCGAAGGCGGCUCUCUGGGACGGUACUGACGCUGAGACGCGAAAGCGUGGGGAGCGAACAGG